GAAGAAUCGUUGACCAAGCUCCCUGCAGCCCAGCCACCCAUCCAGCUAUGCCUUCUCUUAAUGUAUACAAAUCUAAUAAACUAAAUCAAAACUGUAUGUUUACCCUCUCAAAAGCCACUAAUUAAACCCUUAACCCAAAGCUACAUACCCACAUGUAACUCAAAACCAUCCUUAAUUUUCUCUUCCCCUUGGCUGCUGGAAACCAAAUCUCUCCAAUGCUUAGACUCCUCACACUUGAACUACUCCUUGCCUUUCUCGUCCUAAUUUUCUCUCACCCUUUAACUAAUAAUGCUGCCACAGCCACCGUCACCGCCAUUACUCAACAAUUCAAAGAAGCUCCACAGUUCUAUAACUCCCCAGAUUGUCCUUCGUUUGAUCAAGAUGAGAUUGAUUCAGAAUCAGACGGUGAUAGCACCAUCUUUUGCUCCGAUAAAGCAGUCCACGUUGCAAUGACUCUUGAUGCAGCAUAUAUACGAGGCUCCAUGGCAGCAGUUCUCUCUGUUCUUCAACACUCUUCUUGUCCCCAAAAUAUUGCUUUCCAUUUCGUAGCUUCCGCCUCUGCCAACUCCUCUCUCCUACGCAACACCAUCUCCUCCUCCUUCCCUUAUCUCAAAUUCCGAGUUUACACAUUCGAUGACGCGUCCGUGUCAAGACUCAUCUCCACGUCUAUCCGUUCUGCUCUAGAUUGCCCGCUAAAUUAUGCUCGAAGCUACUUGGCCAAUAUCCUCCCUAUAUGCGUUCGCCGAGUCGUCUACCUUGACUCAGACCUCGUCCUCGUCGAUGACAUUGCCAAGCUAGCCGCUACUCCACUGGGUGAAAAGUCUAUUCUUGCAGCUCCUGAGUAUUGCAAUGCGAAUUUCACUUCUUAUUUCACACCAACUUUCUGGUCUAACCCUUCUCUAUCGCUCACAUUUGCGGAUAGAAAAGCUUGUUACUUUAAUACUGGAGUUAUGGUCAUCGAUCUCAAUCGAUGGAGGGCAGGGGACUACACUUCCAAGAUUGAGGAGUGGAUGGAACUGCAGAAGAGAAUGAGAAUAUACGAACUGGGUUCGUUGCCGCCAUUCUUGUUGGUUUUUGCAGGGAAUAUUGUGCCUGUUGAUCACCGUUGGAACCAGCACGGGCUCGGUGGUGAUAAUUUUAGAGGUCUCUGCAGGGAUUUACAUCCGGGUCCGGUUAGUCUCUUGCACUGGAGCGGUAAAGGGAAGCCAUGGGCUAGACUCGACGCUAAUCGACCAUGUCCUUUGGAUGCUCUGUGGGCUCCAUACGAUCUCUUGCAGACUCCAUUUGCGUUGGAUUCUUGAAGACGAAGAAACCUUCGCUCGAGUACAUAAAUAUAAAAAAGCAUAUAUAUAUAUAUAUAUGUGCUCUUGCUGGAACCUGCUGAUAGGAAUAACACAGAGAGAGGCAGGGAUCUGAAAGAGAUCAAGAUCAUAUACAGAUAUGUUACAGUUUCGAAGUUUAAUUAGGUAUGUUGGUAGUGUAGAUGAUUAUACAGGUGUUCAUAUACAUCUAUCAAGAAUUCAUUUUUCUGUUAAAAUCAUCAUCACUCGUAUGGUAGAGAUCAGAAGAAAGAAGUUUACUACUUAUCAAAUAAGGAAGAAGCCAGAAACGGGAAGGGGAUUCAUGAACUUCCGCCAUAUUUGGUUAAUUAAUUGUAUCAAAAAGAACUGUUUUAGGUGGUCUCAUGAAUCAUUAUUUUGUUUAAUAAUAAUAAUAAUCAUCUAAAUAUUCUCUGAAUAUUUUCCCCUUUGCUUUUAUCAAUUAUGUUUUUUCUUCUAGUAUUUAGC
rnacentral:misc_RNA from 1 species